UUCGUAGGUGGCGCGGCAAGUUGGGAGUGAAAUCUCUGGGCUUAACUCAGAGGCUGCUUUCAAAACUGCCGUGCUCGAGUGCGAGAGAGGUCAGUGGAAUUGCAGGUGUAGCGGUGAAAUGCGUAGAUAUCUGCAGGAACACCCGUGGCGAAGGCGGCUGACUGGAUCGCAACUGACACUGAGGAACGAAAGCUAGGGGAGCAAACAGGAUUAGAUACCCUGGUAGUCCUAGCCCUAAACCAUCGGAACUUGGGGUGGCCCGCGUAGGCGGGUCGUCCCGUAGCUAACGCGUUAAGUUCCGCGCCUGGGGAGUACGGUCGCAAGACUGAA
rnacentral:rRNA from 1 species